UUUUUGGUAUUUCUUAUUGUAUUGAUUUUUUGUAACACAAAUUUUGCUACUCAUUUUAUACAAUAGCAUUGAUGAUGGCUACCGAGGGAGUGCAACUGGUAUUCCAAUAUCGGGGAUCAUUUGAGACGAAUGCAAAUGACGGACGUGUUAUUUAUAAAGGGGAAAAAUUGAAGGUCACCAAAUAUAAUGGAAAUAGUUCCUUUUAGGAACUAAAAAGUCAUUUUGGUAAUUUAACCAAGUGUGAUCCAAACAAAUUUGCUAUUAAGUACCACAACACAAAUCUAUCUAGUGGGUUUGAUUUGAUUGAUAUAAAUGAUGAUAUAUAUGUAUCUUUUAUGUUGGGAGGGGAAUCUUCGAGAAUUGUAGUAUAUAUUGCUGCUAAAAUGGAGCCACAACAGGAAUCUGUUGCUGAUGGCCCAUCUUCAAGGAGUAGUCGGCGUAACGCUUACCUGAUCAAGAUCAAAACAUUCAAGUGGCGCCCAACCUUGAGGUUGUACUAGGGCGUGAUAUAGAGGAUAUUGAACCACUAGAGAGUCAAUGUAGAGGAGUUGGUAGCGAGGUUCAAUUAAUUGUUGGGCAAUUUUUUGAAAAUGUUAAUGAAUUCCGACAUCAUCUAGUUAGUUUUACAAACCACAGUAAUUCUAUUCUAAAGUUUGACAAAAGUGAAUUGGGAUGGGUGUGAGAAAAUUGCAAGGAAGAGGGAUGUACAUGGCAAGUGCGGUGCAUACGAGUUGGUAGUGUCGCGUACUUUAAAGUGAAGUCUAUGGUUAAGGAGCACACAUGUAGUGGCCCAAUGGGAAGGGUCCAUCAGCCACUAGCUUGUAGUGAUUGGGUGGCAAAAAAGAUUAAAGGCCGCCUUAUUGACUAACCAAAAAUUAAAGCAAAAGGCAUCGUAAAGGAUGUCCAACGUGAUCACGAGGUUAGACUUUCCUACAUGCAAGCUUAGCAGGAAAAAAAAGUUGCUAGAAAGAUGAUAGAUGGUAUUGUUUCUUAAGUAUGUUGAGUGAGAUAUUGAAUGAGUAUCCUAAUUUGCCUGCCUUAACAAUUAUAUCAGAUCGCCCAAAAAUCCUGUUAGAAGCAAUAGAGAAAUGCUUUCCCACAUGUUUUCCAUCAUUCUGCAUGCGACAUAUGGGAGAGAACUUCAAGGGCUUUAUGAAGAGGUCAGCAAAUACUGAAGUAUUGCUGAUGCUGUUUUGGAAGGCUGCCUGUAAAGUGACCAUUGGUGGGUUUGAAAAAGUAAUGUUUGAUAUACAGUGUGCUGACCCAGAAGCAUAUGAGUGGAUUAAGAAUAUUCCCCCCAAAUUUUGGGCAAAUACCUAUUUUCCAAGGUCUAGAUACAAUCAUUUUACCUCUAACAUGGCCGAGUCUUUCAACGUUUGGAUUUUAUCUGCUCAAGAGAAGCCGAUCAUUACAAUUUGUGAAGAAAUAAUGGUACAGUUGAUGACCAGAUUUGAAGAGAAGAUGGUGGUAUGUAAUACUUGGAAUGACAUGCUAGUACCGAAGGUCUAAGAAUUACUCGACUUGCGAAAGAUGAAGGCUUGAUUUUUACACAUAGUUAUAUCUGCCAUGGACACGUAGUUUGAGAUCCGUUAUCUUGGGAAGUACGCUAUCAUUUUAAUGCAUUGGACGUGCAGUUGUAGAAAAUGGAAACUCAGUGGCAUUCCAUGUGUUCAUGCCAUUGCGGCUAUUAACCAUAUGCAUUUGGAUCCCACAACAUACUGCCUUUAAGUAUUUCACAGUGGAAUACUUUAAAAUGGCCUUUCAAACUCCCUUUGGGCCUGUCCCAGAUGAUAUUUAGUUGACAGGUAUGUUCGACAGGACAGUGUUGCCACCAAGGACUACAUGCCUUCCCGGAAGGCCAAAGAAGCAAUGAAGAAUAUCCGGGACAGAACAGCCGAUCACCAAGCCUUUGAAGUGCAAACGAUACGGCGCAGUUGGUCAUAAUAGGAGGACAUGCAGAGAACCGAUAGAGUGAAUUACUUAUUGUCAAUAUUGCGUUUUCAUAUCGGAUUAUGAAUUUCAUGAAUUAAUGAAUGGAGUGAAUUCGAUGUU